rnacentral:rRNA from 1 species
GAUUGAACGCUGGCGGCAGGCCUAACACAUGCAAGUCGAACGGUAACCGGAAGAAGCUUGCUUCUUUGCUGACGAGUGGCGGACGGGUGAGUAAUGUCUGGGAAACUGCCUGAUGGAGGGGGAUAACUACUGGAAACGGUAGCUAAUACCGCAUAACGUCGCAAGACCAAAGAGGGGGACCUUCGGGCCUCUUGCCAUCGGAUGUGCCCAGAUGGGAUUAGCUAGUAGGUGGGGUAACGGCUCACCUAGGCGACGAUCCCUAGCUGGGCUGAGAGGAUGACCAGCCACACUGGAACUGAGACACGGUCCAGACUCCUACGGGAGGCAGCAGUGGGGAAUAUUGCACAAUGGGCGCAAGCCUGAUGCAGCCAUGCCGCGUGUAUGAAGAAGGCCUUCGGGUUGUAAAGUACUUUCAGCGGGGAGGAAGGGAGUAAAGUUAAUACCUUUGCUCAUUGACGUUACCCGCAGAAGAAGCACCGGCUAACUCCGUG